rnacentral:rRNA from 1 species
CCCCGAAAGCUAUUUAGGUAGCGCCUCGUGAAUUCAUCUCCGGGGGUAGAGCACUGUUUCGGCUAGGGGGCCAUCCCGGCUUACCAACCCGAUGCAAACUGCGAAUACCGGAGAAUGUUAUCACGGGAGACACACGGCGGGUGCUAACGUCCGUCGUGAAGAGGGAAACAACCCAGACCGCCAGCUAAGGUCCCAAAGUCAUGGUUAAGUGGGAAACGAUGUGGGAAGGCCCAGACAGCCAGGAUGUUGGCUUAGAAGCAGCCAUCAUUUAAAGAAAGCGUAAUAGCUCACUGGUCGAGUCGGCCUGCGCGGAAGAUGUAACGGGGCUAAACCAUGCACCGAAGCUGCGGCAGCGACACUGUGUGUUGUUGGGUAGGGGAGCGUUCUGUAAGCCUGUGAAGGUGUGUCGUGAGGCAUGCUGGAGGUAUCAGAAGUGCGAAUGCUGACAUAAGUAACGAUAAAGCGGGUGAAAAGCCCGCUCGCCGGAAGACCAAGGGUUCCUGUCCAACGUUAAUCGGGGCAGGGUGAGUCGACCCCUAAGGCGAGGCCGAAAGGCGUAGUCGAUGGGAAACGGGUUAAUAUUCCCGUACUUGGUGUUACUGCGAAGGGGGGACGGAGAAGGCUAUGUUGGCCGGGCGACGGUUGUCCCGGUUUAAGCGUGUAGGUGUGUGUUCCAGGUAAAUCCGGUUCACUUUAACACUGAGGCGUGACGACGAGGCACUACGGUGCUGAAGCAACAAAUGCCCUGCUUCCAGGAAAAGCCUCUAAGCAUCAGGUAACAUCAAAUCGUACCCCAAACCGACACAGGUGGUCAGGUAGAGAAUACCAAGGCGCUUGAGAGAACUCGGGUGAAGGAACUAGGCAAAAUGGUGCCGUAACUUCGGGAGAAGGCACGCUGACACGUAGGUGAAGUGAUUUACUCAUGGAGCUGAAGUCAGUCGAAGAUACCAGCUGGCUGCAACUGUUUAUUAAAAACACAGCACUGUGCAAACACGAAAGUGGACGUAUACGGUGUGACGCCUGCCCGGUGCCGGAAGGUUAAUUGAUGGGGUCAGCGCAAGCGAAGCUCCUGAUCGAAGCCCCGGUAAACGGCGGCCGUAACUAUAACGGUCCUAAGGUAGCGAAAUUCCUUGUCGGGUAAGUUCCGACCUGCACGAAUGGCGUAAUGAUGGCCAGGCUGUCUCCACCCGAGACUCAGUGAAAUUGAACUC